AUUCUCUUGCAUUCCACCCGGGGAACAAGACAGCACCGGGUUUCACACUGGCAAGGCAGGAGGCUGUGUGCUGCCAGAACGACCAGCAGGGGGCGCAAAGGCCACGCCAGGCACCUGCUGGCCUCAGAGAAAACAGAAAGGGAACCAGGAAGCCCACUCCUGCUGUCCUUUCUCUGCAAGGAAAUGUGCCAGGGCACUGCAGCCCAGACAGUCGGCAGUAGAGGACCCAUGAAGUAUCUUUGUGCAAAGAAAGCAGCAAAGAGAAUUAAGAGAAUUGCAUCAUAUAAAGAGUGAAUUAAACCAUCUAAAGGAGCAAAAAUUCAUCAUCACAUGGACAAGAAAUUAAGACGUAACAUCCAUCUCACUAUUUGCAAAGUGGCUUAUUCCUACAGACAAUGCAGAUAUGUAAAAAGCAGCUGGAAACCUAGGAGCAGAAGCCCAGCAUAAAGAUCUCUGAAAGCCUGGAUGCGUGGAUUCCUCUCUUACUUCCCAAAACGGUGGGGUGGAAAUGUGAAUAUCAGCAUGAUGCACAGAUCUCUGCAGAUGUCCAGCGAACUGAAUUUCUAGACGCUAUAAUCUAUGUUCUUUCCCAACCCCCACUUCAGUUUACAUAUCGCAGGCCAUAGAUCCUGUUUGUUGAAAAGCGAUCAGCUAGAAAACAAGAGUGGUUAUAACCUGUGCUGCCCAGUGAUCAGGAAAAGAGAGCGGAUGAAACUUCCAUGACUUUCUGUUAGUCUGAUUAAUAUCCAUGCCAAAUGUAAGAUUAGUUAAAAGGCCUUAUUGCUUCCCACCAAAAUGUUCCUUCACUAGCUAUAUACUACACUGAAAUGUAAAGUUAUGGGUAUGUUUAACAGUUUAAUUUGUCAGUGGGCAUCCAACUCUUCUAUUUGUGUUUUUACUUUGAGCUUAAUUGGAGCAGACAAAUAGAGGUGACCUCUAACUGUUUUCUUCCUGAAGCCAUUUUCAGGGCAGAAGUGCUUUACCCACUUCAUUGAGAAACCACCUUUGCAUGCAGUACCCUGAGCUGUCUUCAGCACACCAAGCAUCCACAACAUGGGAAAUACCGUGCUUUAAAUGUUGCUUUAAUCACAGUGCUCAUGAGUAAGGGCAUGUCCUGUCUCUUAUCCAUGAAAACACUCCCACAAAAUGAAGUCACACCCAGUAUCUGUUAACGGAGAUACUGAGUGGGUGAAGAAGACUCAUUCCCUAAUGCAAUUCAGGUCACACAGGGUAAAAAAGAAAAAAAAAUCCUUUUCUGUUGAGGAUACAGAUGGAGAGAAAAUGGAAAAUGCCUUUCAGGAAGCACAAGCCUAGUUUUCUAAUUGUGUUUCAGUGAACACGCAGGUGAACUUACCUGUGUGGCUUGGUAUUGUGGUGGGUUUUCAGCUUCUUCUCCACCAAAUCCUUUGAAAAGCAGCAGUGGCAGAAACAAAUAACCCAAUUAAAAACAAUAAUAGCAACAAUAAAAAAAGAAAAGAUGAA
rnacentral:lncRNA from 1 species